rnacentral:rRNA from 1 species
GAUGAACGCUGACGGCGUGCCUAAUACAUGCAAGUCGAACGAAAGGACGUGAAUUUUGUUGCUCUGAUGUUAGAGGCGGAUGGGUAAGUAAUAAGUGGCUCACCUACCUAUAAGACUCGGCUAACUUCGAGACACCGGAGAUAAUACCGGAUAAUAUUUUGAACCGCAGGGUUCAACAGUGGAUGACGGUCUUGCUGUCACUUAUAGAUGGAUCGGCGCUGGAUUAGCUGGUUGGUAAGGUAAUGGUUUACGACGGCAACGGCGAAUAGCCGACGUGAGAGGGUGAUCGUCCACACUGGAACUGAGACACGGUCCAGACUCCGACGGGAGGCAGCAGUAGGGAAUCGUACGCAAUGAGCGAAAGCCUGACGGAGCAGCGCCGCGUGAGUGAUGAAGGUCUUGGGAUCGUAAUUCUCUGUUACUAUGGAAGGCCAUAUGUCUAAGUAACUGUGCACAUCUUGACGGUACCUAAACAGAAAGCCACGGCUAACUACGUG